UACGAAGGGGGCUAGCGUUGCUCGGAAUCACUGGGCGUAAAGGGUGCGUAGGCGGGUCUUUAAGUCAGGGGUGAAAUCCUGGAGCUCAACUCCAGAACUGCCUUUGAUACUGAAGAUCUUGAGUUCGGGAGAGGUGAGUGGAACUGCGAGUGUAGAGGUGAAAUUCGUAGAUAUUCGCAAGAACACCAGUGGCGAAGGCGGCGCACUGGCCCGAUACUGACGCUGAGGCACGAAAGCGUGGGGAGCAAACAGG
rnacentral:rRNA from 1 species